GCUCCCUUCGUCUAGCGGUCAGGACGCGGCCUCUCGAGGCUGAACAGGGUUCGAUUCCCCUAGGGAGCGCCA
rnacentral:tRNA from 1 species